rnacentral:rRNA from 1 species
GACGAACGCUGGCGGCGUGCCUAAUACAUGCAAGUCGAACGAACCGCGACUAGGUGCUUGCACUUGGUCAAGGUGAGUGGCGAACGGGUGAGUAACACGUGGGUAACCUACCUCAUAGUGGGGGAUAACAGUCGGAAACGACUGCUAAUACCGCAUAGGACAUAGGAUCACAUGAUCCAGUGAGGAAAGGUGGCGCAAGCUAUCGCUAAGAGAUGGACCCGCGGUGCAUUAGCUAGUUGGUAGGGUAAAGGCCUACCAAGGCGAUGAUGCAUAGCCGACCUGAGAGGGUGAUCGGCCACAUUGGGACUGAGACACGGCCCAAACUCCUACGGGAGGCAGCAGUAGGGAAUCUUCCGCAAUGGACGCAAGUCUGACGGAGCAACGCCGCGUGAGUGAAGAAGGUCUUCGGAUCGUAAAGCUCUGUUGUUAGAGAGGAACAGCGCAUAGAGUAACUGUUAUGCGUGUGACGGUAUCUAACCAGAAAGCCACGGCUAACUACGUG